CUAGACCACACCAACUGAAAAGUCUUAGAGUGCUGAGUAUAUAUGUGGGAUUGGACACUAAACUCGGAAUAGUAGCUAAUAAAAAUGGCUAUUUUUGACAAUGUUUUGUGAUUCAGAUUUGAAUUCACUACAAUUCCAAGUUUAGUAAAUAAAACAUGUUAUGAUUCAGACUCAAAAGGAAUGUGCCAGAUAAAAACCUAAUUCUAGUGGAUUCAUUGUAAAACUAUUUAUC